AUGUUUAUCCAUUGUUUCUGGACAUCUUGGACUCGUUUAAAGAAAAGGAAAAGAGUCUUAACGAUGUCAUUAAAGAGGUAUGUUUUUAUAUUUAUUUUUGUAAAAUUUUGAUAUCUAAUCUUAAGAUCAAUUAAUUUGAAAAGAUCAAUUCUAACAUCUACUUGUAGAAUCAUGUUUAAAAUCGAGCAAGACUUUAUAUAUCAUAAAUUAUUUGAGCCUAACAUCA
rnacentral:lncRNA from 1 species